rnacentral:tRNA from 1 species
GCCUUCGUGGUGUAACUGGAAGCAUACUCGACUCGUAUUCGAGAGGUCCGAGAUUCGAGUCCUGGCUAGGGCU